GUGGGGAAUAUUGGACAAUGGGCGCAAGCCUGAUCCAGCAAUGCCGCGUGUGUGAAGAAGGUCUUCGGAUCGUAAAGCACUUUCGACGGGGACGAUGAUGACGGUACCCGUAGAAGAAGCCCCGGCUAACUUCGUGCCAGCAGCCGCGGUAAUACGAAGGGGGCUAGCGUUGCUCGGAAUUACUGGGCGUAAAGGGCGCGUAGGCGGCUCUGUGAGUCAGGCGUGAAAUUCCUGGGCUUAACCUGGGGACUGCGCUUGAUACUGCAGGGCUUGAGGCCGAGAGAGGGUGGUGGAAUUCCCAGUGUAGAGGUGAAAUUCGUAGAUAUUGGGAAGAACACCGGUGGCGAAGGCGACCACCUGGCUCGGUACUGACGCUGAGGCGCGACAGCGUGGGGAGCAAACAGGAUUAGAUACCCGGGUAGUCC
rnacentral:rRNA from 1 species